GACAGAGGGUGCAAACGUUGUUCGGAAUUACUGGGCGUAAAGGGUGCGUAGGCGGUCGCGCAAGUCGGAUGUGAAAUCUUAGGGCUCAACCCUGAAACUGCAUUCGAUACUGCGUGGCUUGAGUACUGGAGAGGAGACUGGAAUUUACGGUGUAGCAGUGAAAUGCGUAGAUAUCGUAAGGAAGACCAGUGGCGAAGGCGAGUCUCUGGACAGUUACUGACGCUGAGGCACGAAGGCCAGGGGAGCAAACGGG
rnacentral:rRNA from 1 species